rnacentral:rRNA from 4 species
CUUUAUCGGAGAGUUUGAUCCUGGCUCAGGACGAACGCUGGCGGCGUGCCUAAUACAUGCAAGUCGAGCGGACAGAUGGGAGCUUGCUCCCUGAUG